rnacentral:misc_RNA from 1 species
GAAAUUAUUUUACUCAUUGAUGCACAAAGGCCCACUACACAUUCUUAAAAAGAGAGAAAAUAAGAGAGAUCAAUGCAUGUUUUUCCACGUAUGGCUGCACUGAGAGACAGCAGACUCUAUGUUAAUUACCCCAAAUGAUUCAGAAGAUAGGAGAAAGCCAAAUCUUAUUAGAGGAGAAAUUUUGGACUGAACACUGGAUAUAAGCACACAUACAAACAUCCAUCUAUAUCUGUCGAUAUGCACACAUUCACUUGGGUAAUACUAAUAAGUAUUAGAUAUUGCAAAAUCAAACUUGAUAACCUGAGCUAGAAAGCAAACUUUGAAAUAUAAACCAUGGACAAGUACACAUUCUAAAAAUGCAGCUUUGAAGAAAUUGAUAGUUUGACACAACCAGGGGCAGAAAGUUUAGAACCCCUACCUUCACAUAAUA